rnacentral:tRNA from 1 species
GGAGGUAGCUCAGCAGUACAGCAUCUGCCUGGCAAGUGGGAGUCCCUGAGUUCAAGUCCCAGUACCACCU